rnacentral:rRNA from 1 species
AUUGAACGCUGGCGGAAUGCUUUACACAUGCAAGUCGAGCGGCAGCAUGGACUUCGGUCUGAUGGCGAGCGGCGAACGGGUGAGUAACAUAUAGGAACAUACCCAGUAAUGGGGGAUAACGCCGAGAAAUCGGUGCUAAUACCGCAUACGCCCUGAGGGGGAAAGCGGGGGAUCUUCGGACCUCGCGUUAUUGGAUUGGCCUAUAUCUGAUUAGCUAGUUGGUGAGGUAAAGGCUCACCAAGGCGACGAUCAGUAGCUGGUCUGAGAGGAUGAUCAGCCACACUGGAACUGAGACACGGUCCAGACUCCUACGGGAGGCAGCAGUGGGGAAUUUUGGACAAUGGGCGAAAGCCUGAUCCAGCCAUUCCGCGUGAGUGAAGAAGGCCUUCGGGUUGUAAAGCUCUUUCGGCAGGAAAGAAAUCGUUGCUCCUAAUACGGGUAAUGGAUGACGGUACCUGAAGAAGAAGCACCGGCUAACUACGUGCCAGCCGCCGCGAUAAGAC